rnacentral:lncRNA from 1 species
UUUUUUUUUUUUUUUUGCAAUUCCCCGUACGAGGUUCCUAAUUGGCUUGCUUGGUGUAUACCUUCAACGAGCUCCAGGGAGAUAGCAAAGAGCUACCGACCAAAGUCACUGUCCAAACGAGUUAAUUAAAGUCAGUGUCCUCGGCAUGUUUUCAACCAUCGACUACAACAGCACGAUGCCGACUAAUCGUCUCCGGCGUAUGUGCGGCCUAUAUCAUGGCACGAACCGCCGUGACAUGGCUUCAGCCACUACCGCUCGCUUCUUCUUCUUCCAUGCUAGCUCGGCCGUCACAGCUGACGUCUGUGCUCGCUCAAAGUUUUCUUCGUUUCUUCUUCGUACUUCUCCAUCAGCCCCACCUUCAGCCGUACUCCCGUUUACCAGUUUGUAUAGCGGCAGUGCUUUAUAUACGCUUACAAAAUGUACAUUGCACACGUCCCGAGUUCCUGAUCACUAGCUGCUGGUCGCAAUGGCAGCGUCUCCAGCAAGCAAGUACUACUGCACAGUUCCUUCUUUGCUUAAAAUUACUCUGCUGCCGCGCGCGAUCACUAGAUGGAUCUUCUACUCUAUGAUCGCUCGCUCAUCGCUCUAUGAAAACUCUGUAGGUUUGCACAGGAAGAGGAAGCUCUCCCGCCUACCUUGACACCCACUUCCCAGCAGCCACCUCUCUACGAUGGCGCAACCAGGUUGUGUUAUUACUACUAGUACUUUGCUUUCUUCUCUGAAACUUUCUUUACUCAAAUAUGUGCAAGCGCACGCGAGAUCUUCAUGUUCAUGUUCAUUUCUGAUACAUCGAUCUCUGCGUAUUUACCUUUGCUCACGUGUGACAAGUUGGGAUUACAGGUUGUACAUGGCGUAUGCUUGCCCGUAUGCGCAGCGAGCAUGGAUCGCGAGGAACUGCAAGGUACCAACCGAGCUCAUCUUCCGAUGAUCGAUGCUCUUUUUCCCUCCACAUGAGUUGGUGUCUUCUUUGGUUAGGUUCACUCCAUGUUGUGAUUUUUGUAAUUCGAUUUGUUUCCGGUACCAGGGUUUGCAGCGCAAGAUCUUGCUUGUCCCCAUCGAUUUGGCGGAUAGGCCAGCGUGGCUCCGCAAGAUUUACCCCAAGAAUCAGGUGUGGCUAGACUAAAAUACAUAGUGUCUCCUAUUUAGAUGAGUGUUAAGAUGCUCCUUUUUUUUUCCCAACAAGGUACCCUGCCUAGAGCACAACAACAAAAUGAUAGGAGAGAGCUUGGAUUUGAUCAAGUACAUAGACAGCAAUUUCGAAGGCCCCAAAUUGAGUCCUGAUGUGAGUUUAUUUUGUCUUUAAAGGCUGCAAUAGCAUGCACUCCCCAUUGGUCAUUGGUGACCUCAUGAUUCUUCUCUUAAAAAAUAUCGAUGACCUUAGGAUCCUGAAAAGCAAGGGCUUGCAGAAGAACUGCUGGCUUAUUCAGACACCUUCAAUCAAGCGAUGAUGUCGGCAUUGACCGCCAAGGGGGCAGUGACUGCUGAUGCUGGCAAGAGCUAAGAACACUUGUAAUAAUUCAACUAUAAAUAUAUAUUCAUGCUGAUUACUGACCUGUGAUGCAUUGCUGGUCAUCAGAAGCUGCUCUGGACAAAAUAGAAGUCUCCCUUUCAAAAUUUGAUGAUGGACCUUUCUUUCUUGGCCAGUUCAGUCUGGUAAUUUUGCACUCAGUGUCCCUUAUAUCAGCUAGAAUUUGGCAAUUUAAAGAACUAACGUCGCUUGGAACUGGAAACAGGUGGACAUCGCAUAUGCACCAUUUGUUGAUGGAUUCCAAGUAUUCUUCACCAACAUAAAGAACUACGAUCCCACCGCAGGAAGGCCUAACAUGCAGAAAUUCAUCAAGGUAGCAAGAACACGAUAUCUUUCAGGAGUGUAGCGUUUUGGAGCUUGGGCUCCAUGAAGCCUGAUAUUUCAAAAUUCAACUUUUAAUUUUUUUUAAAAAAAUGAAAAAGUACACGUUUACAUAGGGAUGUAUUCUACAUGUUUUAAAAUUUUCAUGAUGAAAUACGUUAAGAUGUGAGCUUCAAAAAAAUCAUGGAUUUUUAUAGUGAAUAAUGCAUGUGCUAAAAAUCCAUGAUUUUUUUGUGUAGCUCAAAUCUUGAACACAUUUUAUCAUGAAUAUGUACAAACAUGUAGAGUACAUUUCCGUGUACAUGUGUAUUUUUUCUUGAAACUUUUUAAACUUCGAAGAAUGUUUUUUGAAUUAAGAGCUCCAUGGAGCCCAAAUGCAAUUUCCGCAUCUUUCAGUGUCUAUGUAUAGUAACUUACUCAUGAGAACGGGAAACAUGUGUAGGAAAUGAAUGGCAUUGCGGUGUAUGCGCAGACCAAGCACGACCCUCAAGAACUGCUUGCUCUCACAAAGAAGAAGCUCGGGGUAAGGCGUUCUAGCAACGAUUAACUAUGUAUCAAUGCUAUAAAGACGAUGAUCUCGCGCCCGAAAUACGAGCUCCGUCCAGACAUACAAGCUAAGGAUUUUGAUUGGUUAAGAAUGAUAGAAAUACUUUUACUAGUAUGUAGUUUUAGCGUGGCACACCAAAUGGAGAUCAUUGGACUCUUAUUUUAAAAUACUUACUACACCGUUCAUUAAUAUAAAAUGUUUUGGCAGUUUAAAUUAGACUGCCAAAACGUCUUACAUUUAAGAACAGAGGUAGUACUAAUUAUGAUUUUAUAUCACAUAAAACGUUUAUCAAAGUCUUGUCUUAACCAAUUAAAGUACACUAUGCUAGUGGUGUGAGAGGAGGUUUAACCUGCUCAUCCACGAGUGUUUUAGCCAUAUCAUAGGACUAAUUUUUAUAACAUGUUCUUUUUACGAUCAUAAAGGAUUUUCCCCCGAUCUCAUUAAGGAAGUCAUUGUAGUAGUACUCCUUCCGUCCAAGUAAUCCAGGACGGAGGUAAUAUUACUUAUACAGGACUAAACAAGUCGUGGUGACAUCUGCUGUUUUUACGUGCAGAUAUAAGGGUUUUCCCUUGGAUUUGGAUCGGCCGAUGACCGAUGAAGCAUUGCCAAUGUAUGCGUGCAGAUAUAAGGGUUUUUCCUUGGAUUUGAAUCGGCCGAUGACUGAUGAAGCAUUGCCAAUGUAUGCUGCGAGCGCAAUCAAUUGCUAUGUACUGUAACGCAGUAAAUAAAACUACUCCCUCCGUUCCGAAAUACAUGACGUUUUACGUCUGCAUGUUGAAAUCUCGUAACGCUACGAAAUAUUCGCGUUUUCCAUUUUUACCCUCGACCGCAUCGCUCUCAGUCUCUCUCAGUCUCCCUCGCCCGUAUCGCUCUCUGCUUCUCUCCCACCGCAUCUCCCUCGCCCAUGGCGCCGCCGCAUCUCCCUCGCCCGCGUCGCCGCGUAUCUCCCUCGCCUGCGUAGCAGCCGCAUCUCCCUCGCCUGCGUCGCUGCAUCUCCCUUAACCGCGUCGCCGCUGCCCUCUUUCUCUCGCGUCGUCCCUGCUUCGUCGUCCCAAGAUUCGAUUUUUACCGCCGGAGGAGCUGCUCGAGUAGGAGGAGCUGCGGGAAGAGAAACUGUGGCGGUGAGGAGCUGCCGGAUCUGUGCGGCUGUGGGGAGCUGCCGGAUCUGUGCGGCUGUGGGGAGUUGCUGCAUCUGUGCGGCUGUGACGAGGAGCAGUAGGCGAUGCCGAGCGCCGACGUGCCGAAGGAAAGGAGGAUGGUGAGCAGCUGGACCCACGACGGCACCUCCGCCCCGCCCCCGCGCUUGAGCGCGUCGUACACCAUCUGACGCCGAAGGAUGCGGUCGAACACCACCUGCGGCAGCUUGUCGUCGCCGCGGCUGCCGCCGUCCUCCUCCUUGCGCGCGGCCUCCAUGAGCGACUCCUUGAGGAGCAGCUGCUGCGUCAGGUGGCAAGAGGAUGGACAUGGUGGCCCGGCUGUGCGUCCAUGGAUGAUGACUCCUUGAGUAUUGCUCUAUCUUCCUCUUACUGUCUCUUCUCCGUGAAAACUUAAUGUCAGAUGCUAGGAGUAGUGCUAGGAGUAGGGCUAGCAAAUGGAGAUUCUUGUGAUCUUGUCUACUGCUAGGAGUAGUGCUAGGAAAUGUUACGGAUGCUAAUGUCAGAUGUGAGGCCUUAAUGGCCUACCAAGCUCUCUGUAAUCAACCAAGCAGCAGCAGCACUCCAACAUUUCUUCAGAGGUUUACUGUCGAUGGUCGAUUGUUUUGCUUCAGUUGUCGUUCAAUUCAGAGUUCCAAUCCUCUGUUGUGCUUAUAGGGCAACGCUGACGGUGGUGCUUGUGGUGCCCGACGCUGAUGCCAUGCUCGUGGUGCCCAACGCCUGCUGCUUCAGUCAUUCAUUCAGAGGAGUAUCAUAUGCUGAUGUGGAAUUGCAUGUUUUGGAGUCUUGUUUGGAGUUAAGUGAGGCUCUUUCUACUGUACUCCAACAUCUGUGAGCUUAGUAGGGUUCACAGUAGGACUGAUUUUACUACUCAUCUUGCAAUAGUACUGUUGUUUCCUCACCAACAUCUGUGCUACUGUAGUUUUGGUUAAAUUUGCAAUGAGCUAAUGGAGUAUUGUACUCCUCUUGCAGCAGUACUGUACUGUACUCAUCUUACAGUACUUAGUGAGUACUCCAACAUUACUUACUGAUGUUUCUCUCCAUUUUAACUGAAACUUUAAUUUAAAUUUUAAAAUUAACUGAAGCUAGUACAAAGAACACACGACACUAGUUAUAUUUGUGCUUCCAUUUAUUUGGAGAGGCACCUGUUUGUUCACAUAUCAAAUUUAUUUGAAGUACUACAGGAAAUGCUUGCUGCCAUAAGUAUCCCAUAGUAAUGCCCCAUAGCUGGCGGUCCAUGCGGCGGUCUGAAAUUGUACUUGCUGAAAUUUCUUGUUUGCACUGCUUGCUGAAAUUUCUUGCUAGGAAAUGCUAGGAGUAGAUAGGAGUAUUUCAUGUUGUACUUGUUCAAAUUCUUGAUUGCUUACAAUUUCUUCAGGUUUUAGCAAGUUUUCAGUUAAUUAAAAACUGAAAGCUUUUCUGUUAAUUAGGGAGGAUAGCAGUAGUAUAGCACUGCAGCAGGAGUACUAAAUUAGGAGUAGUAUAGCACUGCAGCAGGAGUAGUAAGCUACUCUUACUGUUCAUUUUCAGAAACUAGAGUUAUAUUUGAAGUUCAGUCUUAUGACCGGCAAAUCCCAGAGGAAGACCUGACGUGAUCAAGUGCUCCGUUAGCUAAUACUCUUAUUCUAAGACAUGAAAUUCAUUCAUUGGCCUUUUUUAUCAACAUUAUCCAUGGUCUAGGAAACAAUUUAUGACCUGAUCUUAGAACUUGAAUAUGGCAUCAAGUCCCAGGGAAUGUGUGGGUUUAGAAAAUCAAUUUUCACACACGUUUAAUACCAAACUUUGUUGUUAAACAUUGUUAAUACCAAAUGGAUUUUUUAAUUGCUCAACACUUGCUAGCUACUCCAUUAUAGGGGUACAAAUGAACUAUUGAUUGUUCAUGGCAGGAGUACUGGAGCUCACCAACUGCAUCUUGACCGGGAUCGAUGCCCUCUUCCUCUUCCAUGUUCAUAUCAUCUUGGAGUAUGUCUUCUUCUUCGGCUGGAGUGCAGUUGAGAUCAAAAUCCAUGCCUCUGCCUUGACUAUGUCUAUUUCCUUUUUCAGUUGCUGCCUGUUCUGAAGUUGGUGCAAUGGAGCUUGGAGCUCCACCUGCUGGACCUGGAGCCUAUUCAGGUACUGCCACGGUAUAAGUUCAUGCAACAUCAAGCACUAUAGUACUCCAACAUCAUGCAAUAGUACUCUUGUCAUGAAAAUGAUGUUGCAUGACGUUGUAAAAGUGAUUCUGCCCCUGUAGUACUUCAUCAUGCAGCUGUACUCCAACAUCAUGUUAUUUUGUUAAUGAUACUCCAACAUCAUGCAAUUGUUUCAGUAGUAUUGUUUUUUGUUAAUGAUACUCCAACAUCAUUGGAGUACUGCACUUUUACUCCAAUGCAGUGCUGAUUUUUUGAAUCCUCCCAACAUCAUGCUCCAGUACUGAAUUUUGUCAUGCUAAAUUUGCAACUGAAUUGCCCCUUUUUGGACCUGUUGAACGACCAGGACCUGAAGUCAGCGGCGAUCUGCAGUACCUGGAGGUGGAGCUGGCGAGGCCUUGGGAGGGUGGCGGCAAUCUGCAGCAGGGCGCUGGCCUUGGGAUGACGAGGUGGGGGAUCUGCUGGCCCAGGACGAUGAGGGGGAUCUGCUGGCCCAGGAAGAUGGGGAGGAUGGAAGGGGAUCUGUGGGGCGAGAUGGGAGGCGAUGGAGGUGGAGGUGGAGGAUCUGGAGGUGGGGGGCGACAGAGGCGGGGGCGAUGGAGGUGGAGGAUCCAGAGGUGGGGGGCGACGGAGGCAGGCGGAUCUGGAAGACGACCUGGGUGGAGACGAGGAGAGAAUUCAAAACUGGAGGGUAACCUGGUCAUUUCGCUGCUUUUUCACCUGGUCGGAAAAAACCCCAGCGUCAUGUAUUCGGAACGGAGGGAGUAAUACGCACCAUCACGCGUACUACUAUUCGUACAACAAAUUACGUCGAAUAAACAACAAAUUGACUUGCCUGGGUGCCAAGUUGUUCUUGCAAUUCGCAGACGCUCCUACUAUUCCCCGUUGUUUCCGUUUCAUAACGUUCGUUGGAAUACUGAGCCAAUGAAAAACAUAAGUACGUAUUUCUUUGCAUGCAUUCUCCACAUAUCUUCUCAGCACAGCAUACGCACGUUAAUGCCCAGGAUAUCAGUAUAUAGAACCAAAUGGAAGAUGAAACAACCUCAAAAUUUCCCUAGCCCAACAAUGCAUGUAUUUUUAAGCAACACGCAGUUCAAACGCACCAGAAAUCCAGCUGCAAUGGCUGCAACUUUUGGUUUUCUACAGCAACUUCAGCAACAUAAUGAUACAACCAUGGUGCCAGCAAGAAAGUGGUGUGUAUUAACAUUUAUUAGAUUAACUCGUUUAGCUACUUCUGUCGUCGCAGGAAAACCUGCAACCUAAGCACAAGCACAAGGUCCAGGUUGACAACGAAAAUGGUACAAUAAAGUGGCAGAGAAAACCCAUAAUAAAUCAGGUUGAAUGGAUGGAGUGUACACAUCUCUAUCACAUGCGCCAAUAGGCUUCAGAUCCUAGGUUGAUUGGAAGGAGGUGACACACACAUGAUAAGACCUGAAAGAUUACUGAAUAACCCGCACGGUAACAGGAUUGUUCAGACAGAAACCCUUGUUUUUAGCAAUGAAGGCAUUGGUUGCAUCAGUCCUCGA